GACGAACGCUGGCGGCGGGCUUAACACAUGCAAGUCGAACGGAAAGGCCCUGCUUUUGUGGGGUGCUCGAGUGGCGAACGGGUGAGUAACACGUGAGUAACCUGCCCUUGACUUUGGGAUAACUUCAGGAAACUGGGGCUAAUACCGGAUAGGAGCUCCUGCUGCAUGGUGGGGGUUGGAAAGUUUCGGCGGUUGGGGAUGGACUCGCGGCUUAUCAGCUUGUUGGUGGGGUAGUGGCUUACCAAGGCUUUGACGGGUAGCCGGCCUGAGAGGGUGACCGGCCACAUUGGGACUGAGAUACGGCCCAGACUCCUACGGGAGGCAGCAGUGGGGAAUAUUGCACAAUGGGCGGAAGCCUGAUGCAGCAACGCCGCGUGCGGGAUGACGGCCUUCGGGUUGUAAACCGCAUUCGCCUGUGACGAAGCGUGAGUGACGGUAAUGUGUGAAGAAGCACCGGCUAACUACGUG
rnacentral:rRNA from 1 species